rnacentral:rRNA from 1 species
UACAGAGGGGGCAAGCGUUGUUCGGAAUUACUGGGCGUAAAGGGCGCGUAGGCGGCCUCCGCAAGUCGACUGUGAAAUCUCCGGGCUUAACUCGGAAAGGUCAGCCGAUACUGCGGGGCUAGAGUGCAGAAGGGGCAACUGGAAUUCUCGGUGUAGCGGUGAAAUGCGUAGAUAUCGAGAGGAACACCUGCGGCGAAGGCGGGUUGCUGGGCUGACACUGACGCUGAGGCGCGAAAGCUAGGGGAGCGAACGGG